rnacentral:snRNA from 1 species
CAUCAAAGCUCGUUAAGAC